AUGGGACCACCUCAGGAGACCCCCUCAUGGGACCACCGCCGGGGCUAUGUCACAACCCCCCUCACGGGACCACUUCGGGGACCAUGUCACAACCCCCCUCACGGGACCACCUCAGUGAGACCCCCUCAUGGGACCACAGCCGGGGCUAUGUCACAACCCCCCUCACAGGACCACUUUGGGGACCAUGUCACAACCCCCCUCACGGGACCACCUCAGCGAGACCCCCUCAUGGGACCACCACCAAGGUUAUGUCACAACCCCCCUCACGGGACCACUUCGGGGACCAUGUCACAACCCCCCUCACAGGACCACCUCAGCGAGACCCCCUCAUGGGACCACAGCCGGGGCUAUGUCACAACCCCCCUCACGGGACCACUUCGGGGACCAUGUCACAAGCCCCCUCACAGGACCACUUUGGGGACCAUGUCACGACCCCCCUCACGGGACCACCUCAGCGAGACCCCCUCAUGGGACCACCACCAAGGUUAUGUCACACCCCCCCUCACAGGACCACUUCGGGGACCAUGUCACAACCCCCUCACGGGACCACUUCGGGGACCAUGUCACAACCCCCCUCACGGGACCACUUUGGGGAACCAUGUCACAACCCCCCUCACGGGACCACCUCAGCGAGACCCCCUCAUGGGACCACCACCAAGGUUAUGUCACAACCCCCCUCACGGGACCACUUCGGGGACCAUGUCACACCCCCCCUCACGGGAGCACCUCAGCGAGACCCCCUCAUGGACCACCACCAGGUUAUGUCACAACCCCCCUCACGGGACCACUUCGGGGACCAUGUCACAACCCCCUUCACGGGACCACCUCAGUGAGACCCCCUCAUGGACCACAGCCGGGGCUAUGUCACAACCCCCCUCACAGGACCACUUCGGGGACUAUGUCACAACCCCCCUCACGGGAGCACCUCAGCGAGACCCCCUCAUGGGACCACCACCAAGGUUAUGUCACAACCCCCCUCACAGGACCACUUCGGGGACCAUGUCACAACCCCCUCACGGGACCACUUUGGGGAACCAUGUCACAACCCCCCUCACGGGACCACCUCAGCGAGACCCCCUCAUGGGACCACAGCCGGGGCUAUGUCACAACCCCCUUCACGGGACCACUUCGGGGACCAUGUCACAACCCCCCUCACGGGACCACUUCGGGGACCAUGUCACAACCCCCCUCACGGGACCACUUCAAGGGACAUGUCACAAACCCCAUCAUGGGACCACCACAGAGGACCACCUCGGGGGUUCAUCACUGAAGUCCAUGUCACAGACCCCCUCUUGGGACCAUCUCAUGGGACCUCAUUAUAGGACCACUAGGCACUCACCCGAGUAA
rnacentral:lncRNA from 1 species